AUCUGAUGAUGAGGGCAACUACCACACAACCGUUUAAAUCUCUCCCAAUAUUCAUACAAAGGCUCUCAUGUAUAUUGCCUUAUACCAUAGAUCUCUUUCCUAAUGCU